rnacentral:misc_RNA from 1 species
AGGAGGGCUUGAGAUGGGUAGCAGAAAGUUUGGGCGGGAGAUUAGUCACAACAGAAGAGCUUUAAAUGUGUUAAAUCAGAAAUUUAUUGGAGCACAAGCAUAUCCUUGUGUUGUUAACAAGAGGGGGCUGUCAGAAAAUCAUGGAGUCUCUCAAAGAAACCCACUAAAUCCUGCACAUCGACCGAUCACAAGGUUAGAAAAAUGAUCUUUUAUGUUUUUCACUUUUCCUUUCUUUUGUUUGGCUGAUAUAAAGAAAGGAACAAAGAAAGAAAGAAAAAGCAAAAAGAUUUAAAUUUGAAUCUUAGAUCUCUUCAUGUGGUGGAGAUAGAAAAACAAUGCCUGCAACUUAACUGAGCUUUAUGAUUGAGUCUGCGAUAGGUUUUCACUUUUCAGCUGUUAGAACAGAAUGGGGCACAACAGUUUGUAACUUCUAUUUUCCUCAUUUUAGCAAACAAAUAAUGGAGGGUUCUAAAAAAUUUUCUCAUCAAAAGUUAUGUUCAAGUUUUGAUAGUUCUGUUUACAGGAAGUUUGCUGCACAACUGUCAAGUACACAUCAGCAUUGUCCACAGGAGACUAAGAAGCAGAAACCAUCAGUUCCAAGCACAAAUGGGUUUGGCGACUGUAUAUUCAUAGAUGUUGAAGAAAAUAAGGCACCAGCAGAUCAUCCAGUACCAAUGUUUUUAGAACAAACAGAAGCAAUCCUUUAUGAAAUGGAUCAGAUGGAGGAGGUUGACAUGGAGGAUAUAAUUGAAGAGCCCAUUUUGGAUAUUGAUGGCUGUGAUACAAAGAAUCCACUUGCUGUUGUUGAUUAUGUUGAAGAUAUGUAUGCCUACUAUAGAAAAAAGGAGGUAAACUGAACUUGACAACAUCUGAACGCCUAUCCUAUCAAUAUUUAUUACGAAAUAACUCUUAUAGUCUCUGUGAAGUUCUUCAUUUAUUUUCUAUUACUUGUAUGGCUUGAAUCUUAACUGCUAAAUUAUUAUUUUUGCGGCUGAUGCUUGAAUUCAAGUUGGCAGAACACCUUAAUUAAUUGCUAUUUUUGUAAAAUUGUAUGAUAUGCUUGAAAGAUAAAUUCCUAUUGCGGAACAUAAAAAUUUCCACCUAAGUUUGUUGACUAAAUACAGCUCAAUCUGUGUAGAGUUUUAGCUGUGUCUCUCCAAACUAUAUGGAACAACAGUUCGACAUUAAUGAGAAGAUGAGAGCUAUACUAAUUGACUGGCUUAUUGAGGUAUAUGAAAUGUUUCCCCACAAAAAUAUUAUUAAAAUGGUAAUAAAUUGAUUCCAUAGCUUCUAAAUCAAUACUAAUUCUGAAUAAUCGUACUUGUCUGAAUCUGCAGGUGCAUGACAAGUUUGAACUCAUGAAAGAGACAUUAUUUCUCACGGUUAAUCUUAUUGAUAGGUUUCUAUCACAGCAGACAGUUGUAAGGAAGAAGCUUCAAUUGGUUGGAUUGGUUGCUAUGCUCUUAGCUUGCAAGUAUGAGGAGGUUUCUGUUCCAGUGGUAGGAGAUCUAAUUCUUAUAUCAGAUAAGGCCUACAAUAGAAAAGAAGUUCUUGAAAUGGAAAGUUUGAUGCUUAACAGAUUACAGUUUAAUAUGUCAUUUCCAACUCCAUAUGUUUUCAUGCAAAGGUUCCUCAAGGCUGCUCAAUGUGAUAAGAAGAUUGAGCUGUUGUCCUUCUUUUUGAUUGAGCUUUCAAUUGUGGAGUAUGAAAUGCUCAAGUUCCCACCAUCUUUAUUGGCAGCCGCAGCAAUCUAUACUGCUCAGUGCACUAUCUAUGGAUUCAAGCAGUGGAGUAGAACCUGUGAGUGUCACAGCAGCUAUUCAGAAGAGCAACUUCUAGAAUGUUCAAGAUUAAUGGUUGGUUUCCACCAGAAAGCUGGGACAGGGAAACUCACUGGGGCACACAGGAAAUACAAUACAUCUAAGUUUGGCUAUACUUCAAAAUGUGAACCGGCACUUUUCUUAUUAGAGACUCAAAAAUAACAGGGAAAUGUGUACAGCUACUGGCUAUUACUUGAUUGGGGUUGGUGGGGUUACACAAUAAUAAUCAGCAACUUUGGUUGCAACUUAUUGGUAGCUGAUAUAUUGUGAAUUUUUAAAUACUGCAGCCUUGGUUGUUAAUACCUUACAGCCAGCCAUAUGCUAUGUUCUGUUUCAUUCAUAUUCCCUCACUGUAUUUCUUUUUCCUGUUUUAUUGAAAACAAUAAUUUUAUGACACCA